AAAGUUUUUUAAUUCUGCUCAGAUUGAACGCUGGCGGCAGGCCUAACACAUGCAAGUCGAGCGGUAGCACAGAGAGCUUGCUCUCGGGUGACGAGCGGCGGACGGGUGAGUAAUGUCUGGGAAACUGCCUGAUGGAGGGGGAUAACUACUGGAAACGGUAGCUAAUACCGCAUAAUGUCGCAAGACCAAAGUGGGGGACCUUCGGGCCUCAUGCCAUCAGAUGUGCCCAGAUGGGAUUAGCUAGUAGGUGGGAUAACGGCUCACCUAGGCGACGAUCCCUAGCUGGUCUGAGAGGAUGACCAGCCACACUGGAACUGAGACACGGUCCAGACUCCUACGGGAGGCAGCAGUGGGGAAUAUUGCACAAUGGGCGCAAGCCUGAUGCAGCCAUGCCGCGUGUGUGAAGAAGGCCUUCGGGUUGUAAAGCACUUUCAGCGGGGAGGAAGGCGGUGAGGUUAAUAACCUUGUCGAUUGACGUUACCCGCAGAAGAAGCACCGGCUAACUCCGUGCCAGCAGCCGCGGUAAUACGGAGGGUGCAAGCGUUAAUCGGAAUUACUGGGCGUAAAGCGCACGCAGGCGGUCUGUCAAGUCGGAUGUGAAAUCCCCGGGCUCAACCUGGGAACUGCAUUCGAAACUGGCAGGCUAGAGUCUUGUAGAGGGGGGUAGAAUUCCAGGUGUAGCGGUGAAAUGCGUAGAGAUCUGGAGGAAUACCGGUGGCGAAGGCGGCCCCCUGGACAAAGACUGACGCUCAGGUGCGAAAGCGUGGGGAGCAAACAGGAUUAGAUACCCUGGUAGUCCACGCCGUAAACGAUGUCGAUUUGGAGGUUGUGCCCUUGAGGCGUGGCUUCCGGAGCUAACGCGUAAAUCGGCCGCCCGG
rnacentral:rRNA from 1 species